rnacentral:rRNA from 1 species
GAUCAUGGCUCAGGAUGAACGCUAGCUACAGGCUUAACACAUGCAAGUCGAGGGCAGCAUGAACUUAGCUUGCUUCAAUUGCCGGCGACCGGCGCGACGGGUGAGUAACGCGUAUCCAACCUUCCGUACACUCAGGGAUAGCCUUUCGAAAGAAAGAUUAAUACCUGAUGGUAUCUUAAGCACACAUGUAAUUAAGAUUAAAGAUUUAUCGGUGUACGAUGGGGAUGCGUUCCAUUAGGUAGUAGGCGGGGUAACGGCCCACCUAGCCAACGAUGGAUAGGGGUUCUGAGAGGAAGGUCCCCCACAUUGGAACUGAGACACGGUCCAAACUCCUACGGGAGGCAGCAGUGAGGAAUAUUGGUCAAUGGACGAGAGUCUGAACCAGCCAAGUAGCGUGAAGGAUGAAGGUCCUACGGAUUGUAAACUUCUUUUAUAAGGGAAUAAACCCUCCCACGUGUGGGAGCUUGUAUGUACCUUAUGAAUAAGCAUCGGCUAACUCCGUG